rnacentral:rRNA from 1 species
UACGUAGGGACCGAGCGUUGUCCGGAUUCAUUGGGCGUAAAGAGCUCGUAGGCGGUCGCUCAAGUCGAACGUGAAAACUCGGGGCUCAACUCCGAGACUGCGUUCGAUACUGGGCGGCUAGAGUCUGGUAGGGGGAUCUGGAAUUCCUGGUGUAGCGGUGAAAUGCGUAGAUAUCGGAAGGAACAUCAGUGGCGAAGGCGACUUCCUGGACCAAUACUGACGCUCAGGUGCGAAAGCGUGGGGAGCAAACAGG